GCCUGCAAUAAACUCAGGAAAAUUAUUUUCGUAGAAUAAUUGAUGAUAAUGAAAAUGUGGAAUAAAUCAAAUCAACAUCGUAGUCGACAUUCAUCAUCUUUAAUCAUAAGAUACUUUCAAUUUAUGCAUAAAUAUGUUGGUGCCUUAUUGGUUCAUUUUGCCUAGGACUAACAUUCUCAUCAAUCAAUACUAUUAUAUUGUUGUUGUACAGAUUUUCCUUCGUAUAUCAUCAAAGGUUAUAUAAGAACUAAAAUAUAAUGAAGGUUAAUAAAAAUAUUGAGUGUUCCAAAGGACAAAUAAGUCCCAUGCUUGUAUGUAAAAGACAUUAAAUAACGACAUUAUUUUUUUAAUGGUUUUCUUGCAUCUCCAUAAGUGCUAAAAAAUUUCAUUAUAAACAAAUACAAAAGUUUAAUGUUAGUUACAUGAACAAUAGAAAAAUUAUGACUGAGAUUCUCAAGUUUAUUUAUGUUAUGAUAGUCUGUAUUUUUCUAUUUUUUGUUGCAAGUGGCAUAAGCACCGGAAGAACUUGGCCUUGUGAUGUUGACAAACAUUGUCUUCCUUAUUUUUGUCUUCCUUACAAAGCAAUUUGUACUAAUCGUCAAUGUAUUUGCUACAAAGUUGAAAAUUAAUUAUGUUACUUUCAUAUAUAAUUUUAUAUGUAUACAUUCUAAUAUUGUCACUCUAAUGAUUACUUCAA